rnacentral:misc_RNA from 1 species
UACAAAACUCGAUUAACUUUGACGAAUCACAUGAAAAGUUGGGCAAAGAAAUUGUUGUGAAGGCCCACGUAGUUAGAAAGUCCUUGGAACUUAAAUACAACACAUGGGUUGUGGAUAGUGACGUGAUUCCUCUCAGCAGUGAUUCAUUUCUUCAUUCGUAUGAUUUGGCUCAUGACUUUCUUUUGGGGAAGAACUUUAAACUUGUCUUCAUACGAAAUUCAGCUUCUGCUUUAAAAAUUUGGGUCGAUAAUGUUUUGGACAAAGUUGUUGCCUCAGUUGCCUCUUUAAAGACUAGAGGUUCAAUCGCCACAGAGGGAAAUUUUGUAAAUCUAGUUGAGAAGUUAUUGGAACAAAAGAAAGCUACUUUUAACAGGGUUGAUGAAACUGAUUUUAGUUUGAACAUCAGUUUUAUGGAUGCUAACGAAACCUCUUCAAGGAAUGGAAAGAAGUUUGCCUUUUGGUCACCUGAAAUGGGUUCAGAACAGAUACAAAAACGACUUGAAGAGUUUG